ensembl:lncRNA
CGUGAGCAUGAUGAAGAUAUCACAGUGAGUCUUUUUUCUAACAGCUCUCCUGCAGCUCUCCUGUACCCCGACCUCUUGUCGCUACGGAAACAGUGCGCUGCCCUCACAAUGCUCACUCGCUCUGGGGAGAGACGCAGAGGAGAGGAGACGAAGGAGGAGGGAAGCUCCGAGCUGGACAGAGGGAUGAAGAGGGACUGGCAUGCAAGAGAUCCCAGGACAGUCAGCAGCAGCCCCUCCAUCUGAAGCAUCAGGUAUGGCAAGGUCACCUUCUACUCUCUGCUGCCCCUGGAGGCAUACUACAGUACUGCAGCUUACAUGCUCUCCAAACUGCUAGAGCUGGUGUCUGCUAAGGAGCAGGCUGUACAUCAGGUUGAAUCCUACAGCCCCAUUACCAUCAUCCCUGGACCAUUCAGCACCGUGCACGCCUGAGGAACACAGAGGAUGUCCACACACACACACACACACACACACACACACACAGGGGAUGUGUGCGGCCGUACUUUUAAAACUAAUAAUGUUCAUUCAUGUCCCAAAUUUCAUUCCUGUGAGGUCAUCACCUCAAACGGUUUUGUAGCACCACACGAGGAC